UCAAAGAAUGGUAAACCUGUGACAAAUUUCUGAGAGUUUGUGAUAGAUCUUUAGGCUAAUUAUUAAUCACAUUGCUGUUUUUAUUUUGAAAUUUUAGAUGCAGACUCAAGCAUGCCACUAAGUGAUGGAUGAAGCAGAACAGGAGUACAAGAAGUUUUCCAAACGGAUCACUGAAAGCCGUGAGGCAAUGAAGGCAUCUUAUGAUGAGUUCAUGGCAGAGGCACAAGCCAGUGCAUCUCGUGUUAUUAUCUUGUGUAAACUGACCUACAAUUCUUAUCUGAAUGUUAUUUGAAGCUUGGCAUAGUAAAAUACUUCUACUUAUUGAAGCUGUAAAGUCCUUGCUAGAGGAACCGAGUUUAGGUGUUCGAAAAGCACUUUCUGAGUUAAUUGUUGUUAUGGCUUCACAUUGUUACUUGGUUGGUUCAUCUGGAGAGUUGUUCAUUGAGUAUCUUGUACGGCACUGUGCUUUAACUGACAAUAAUCGCGGUGAUCUUGACAUCCUGAAUAAGAGAGUGGAGGUAAAAUUUCUCCCUAAUCCUUGCUUCUCAAUAAACAAGUGCCACUUGUGUACAAUGAUAAGACCAUGAUUGAAACCAAAAUUUACUUUCUUAAAUGCCAUCUUAGCUUGGUGAUGAUCAUGCCAGAAACUUAUAUUGUUGUGCCAUGAUUCAAUUUAUAAAAGGAACUAUGCAACAAACAUAUAAUUAGAAAAGGGUGAUGAGCAAGGGUGAUGAGCAGGGCUCCAUAUAUAUAUAUAUAUGACCCACAUAAAUUACAUAACACCCAACCUUUUUCAGAUAUGUUAAUCAUUCUGAAGACAAAAUAAAGAAACCUAAAUUACACUUAGCUUCUCUUUACCAACUUCACAUGGAUAACGUACCAGAAACAUAAAAAGGGGUGUACUUCUCAUGCAUCUUUAUUAGUUCUUUAGUCUUUACCUUUUUUUUGGUCGGUAUUUAAUUUGGUAAUAAAGAAGAAAUUGUAUAUUGUGAUUUAAAUAAAAUCGCUCAUGCACUAUAUCUUAC